GGGAGCAUAGCUCAGGGGUAGAGCAUUUGACUGCAGAUCAAGAGGUCCCCGGUUCAAAUCCGGGUGCUCCCU
rnacentral:tRNA from 1 species